UGGGGAAUAUUGCACAAUGGGCGCACGCCUGAUGCAGCCAUGCCGCGUGUAUGAAGAAGGCCUUCGGGUUGUAAAGUACUUUCAGCGGGGAGGAAGGCGAUAAGGUUAAUAACCUUGUCGAUUGACGUUACCCGCAGAAGAAGCACCGGCUAACUCCGUGCCAGCAGCCGCGGUAAUACGGAGGGUGCAAGCGUUAAUCGGAAUUACUGGGCGUAAAGCGCACACAGGCGGUCUGUCAAGUCGGAUGUGAAAUCCCCGGGCUCAACCUGGGAACUGCAUUCGAAACUGGCAGGCUAGAGUCUUGUAGAGGGGGGUAGAAUUCCAGGUGUAGCGGUGAAAUGCGUAGAGAUCUGGAGGAAUACCGGUGGCGAAGGCGGCCCCCUGGACAAAGACUGACGCUCAGGUGCGAAAGCGUGGGGAGCAAACA
rnacentral:rRNA from 1 species